CGGGAAACCGGAGCUAAUACCGGAUAAUAUUUUGAACCGCAUGGUUCAAAAGUGAAAGACGGUCUUGCUGUCACUUAUAGAUGGAUCCGCGCUGCAUUAGCUAGUUGGUAAGGUAACGGCUUACCAAGGCAACGAUGCAUAGCCGACCUGAGAGGGUGAUCGGCCACACUGGAACUGAGACACGGUCCGG
rnacentral:rRNA from 1 species